UACGUAGGUGGCGAGCGUUGUCCGGAUUUACUGGGCGUAAAGAGCGCGCAGGCGGUCGUCCAAGUCGCGUGUGAAAGCCCCCGGCUCAACUGGGGAGGGUCACGCGAUACUGGUCGACUCGAAGGCAGGAGAGGGUAGUGGAAUUCCCGGUGUAGUGGUGAAAUGCGUAGAUAUCGGGAGGAACACCAGUGGCGAAGGCGACUUCCUGGCCUGUUCUUGACGCUGAGGCGCGAAAGCUAGGGGAGCAAACGGG
rnacentral:rRNA from 1 species